rfam:Triticum aestivum genome assembly, contig: Triticum_aestivum_CS42_TGACv1_scaffold_081466_1DS
GUAGUACUCCCUCCGUCCGGAAAUACUCGAUGUAUCUAGAUGUAUAUCAGUUCUAGAUACAUCUUUUUAUCCAUUUUGAUGACAAGUAUUUCCGGACGGAGGGAGUACUUG